rnacentral:misc_RNA from 1 species
CUGCAUUUGUCAGACGAUUUAAUAAAAAGAAACACACAUGUGUUUAUUAGCAGUCUAGUCAGUUUAGAUUGGAAUCUUGAACAGUUUUAAUCUGAUUUAAUCGAGGAAAACAGAGUGAAGAGACUAGAUGUUCUUCAAAUCUUGGCAGAAAGGAAUGAAAGAAGAAAACGCUAACUGGAGCUCAAUGGUUUACCGUCAGAAAGCAAUGAUUUUGCCCAUAACCCCAAAUUUUUCAGACUCCAUCCUCGUUGAAUCAUCAUCCCAGAGUGCUUCGUCAAAAAGUAGUAGACAGGAACAAUUAAAUCGUACUACAGUUCUGGAUAUUUUUGAUGACACACAAGUUUAUCUUUUUUAUUCAAAAGACGAAGUAAACUAUUCUUGGCUUGAUAAAGAUCUAGGUAUUAAAGAAAUUCAAAUUCCAAAGAUGUCUUCUUCAGAUUUGGUGAACUAUUUGCGGUUAGAAAUAAAGGGCAAUUACAACGAUCAUUGUAAACCUGCAAAUUAUCAUAUAGAUAUUUGUUCUUUCUAAUGUCAGUGACAACAAGCAAAGAUGUGGCAGAAGUGUGUCUUAAGAUUCUUUCAGAAAAAAUAUCUGAUAAAACUCAACAAUUCUGUAUUGAAGUGCCUGACCUACUUCUAGUCCUGAUGAAUUUUGGUACUGUUCAAAGCAAGCUUUGGCCUGCGGCUUCGGACAUUUCUUUUCCUCGCCCAUUCCGGAAAUUUUCCAUGAACAGUUUCGAUUCGGAAAAACAUCAUGUCCCUUUCCCUCGCUUUCUAUUUGGAGAAAAUAUUGUCUCUCUUGAGUUUCAAUGUGAAAACAUAUCCCUAUUUUUCCGAGAACGAGAAAAUUGGAAUGUGCAACCUUUUGCUAAAUCUUUACAUGGCCAAUUUUAUAGCUGGAGACACUUUUCUAACUCUCAAAAUCAGAGACAUUAUAUCACGUAUACUUGAAAGUUUUACAGUAGAGGAAUGGAGUGAACUUAAUUUCAAAAUGGUAUUUCUUUUAUAUUAUGUUUUGUUUUCAGUUCUCCAAGGAUGUACAUGGCUAAUUUUAUUGUCAUAUAAAUAGGGUGGUGGACAUGUUACAAAAUUUUUCCACAAGAAUGCAGAAAACUAUUAUCAAAUCAAUUACUAGAUGACCUUUUUAUAUCUUCCUUUUUACUCCUAUCAUUUGGUGGAUGGUGGCAGCAUAAUUGAUACAGGGAUCCACUCUUUCUUAUAGGCUAAAGCAUCUGACAGAAGUUAUCCAAAAUAGGCAAUUUGUGUGUAUUACGUUUCAGAUGGUUUCGAUUCCGACUAGUCCGGUGCAUCAGUGGGCCCUCUUCCGACAAACCCAGAUUAGUUUAAUUAUCAAUCAUGUUUUCGAAUUUUUUUUACAAACUGGCUAAUUGGUUUUUCUUUUGUGAACAUAUGUUGGUGGUGGACCGGAAAUUCCAGAAUCGGAUGAGAUUUCUGGCGGUGACAAUAGAACAGGAUGCAUAUUCGGAAGUCAUGGGCUGGCUGAUGGGCCCGCAACACGUCCAGCAGCCACAUUGAGACUCGGAAACGUUUGUAGGUUCUUCGUUGCCGACGUCGGCCGUCUUGACUGAGUUACAUCACGCUACCUGGACAAUUCCCGACUCUUCACUCGCUUCGACGACGACAAAGAAUUUUUCCGGUUCCAAAGUUUAUGGUGUUCCGUCGGUGGACCACACAUUUUGAGUCAUCGUUAUUAUGAUGCAUUUGCCUAUAAUAGUGAAGCAGGAGCGAUAACUGGGAGUAGCUGCCGGAUGAUUCUGGAACCACGAACUUACUCUUCCGUUUGGUGCGCCGAUUCGCCAAUUAUUUGUUUGGUCGUUAGCAUCCGCAACCGACUGAAACAUCACCGCAAUGAACCGAAACUAGGACGCUAUUUUGUUGCCGGAAGUAAUCAAAGAUAUCCUAUCGGUGCUGGAUCGUGGAUAGAAUCAUUCGUUCGGCUGAAGAAUAUCUCUUUCGAAUGACCUGGCCCAACAAUUCACAGAUCUCGUCCGGGAUCAACUCGCUUAUUCAAUCCCGCCAUAUUGGGAUCCAGCAAAGAAAACUUUUACUCCUCAGCUGAAUUUUGUCCACCAUUCAACAACGGAUGCCACUGCUUCUAGUCAAUCUGCUGGACCGUGUUCCGGCAGAUUUGCAUAAAACUAGCAAGUGAGCUUUGUUCUCUGCACAGUUCUAAGGAUUGAGUGCUAGGUUUUAGCAAACAAAUGUGGACUUUUCAAGUGUUGUGAUUAUCUUAAGACCAGCUACAAAUACUGAGUUUUGAGACGUGUCAAUAGAUGGCGUGUUGAUUGUGUUAAUGGAAUGGCGAUUUGCUGUCGAAAGUUAAGCUAUCCUUUCUUCGAAAAUUAUCAAUGAAUUCUCAGGAAGAAACAUGAAACUGAUGAAAGGUUCGUGGCUGUCGUGCUGCCUACCGUCAACUAUUUUGUUCAAAAUCUUUGUAUUCUACUGAAUGUGCCAUCGAAACGAUACAGAAUUUAUAAUUAUCUGCUGCUGUUUGUAUUGGACUUGCUAGAUCACCAACCCCGGCAUAGACUAAUCUCUCAUUUCAUCUUCUCAAGAGAAAAUUGGAUAACUGAUCUGUGGUUUCAUGUGCAAGUUCACUUAUUAUGUCACGAAACUUUUUCCGUUGCAGCCUAAUAUGUAUUUAAAAUAUUGAACUAUUGAUCUCCACUUAUGUCUAUCUAAUGUUUAAGAGACACUUUUGAGUGCAUACUGAUAAUUGUUUAUUCUUUUAGAUUAUAGAUGUCAAGCACAUUGA